GGGGGAACUGAUCCAGCCAUGCCGCGUGUGUGAAGAAGGCCUUUUGGUUGUAAAGCACUUUAAGCAGUGAAGAAGACCUAACGGUUAAUACCCGUUAGCGAUGACAUUAGCUGCAGAAUAAGCACCGGCUAACUCUGUGCCAGCAGCCGCGGUAAUACAGAGGGUGCAAGCGUUAAUCGGAAUUACUGGGCGUAAAGCGAGCGUAGGUGGCUUGAUAAGUCAGAUGUGAAAUCCCCGGGCUUAACCUGGGAACUGCAUCUGAUACUGUUAAGCUAGAGUAGGUGAGAGGGAAGUAGAAUUCCAGGUGUAGCGGUGAAAUGCGUAGAGAUCUGGAGGAAUACCGAUGGCGAAGGCAGCUUCCUGGCAUCAUACUGACACUGAGGCUCGAAAGCGUGGGUAGCAAACAGGAUUAGAUACCCUGGUAGUCCACGCAGUAAACGAUGUCUACUAGUCGUUGGGUCCCUUGAGGACUUAGUGACGCAGCUAACGCAAUAAGUAGACAGCCUGGGGAGUACGGCCGCAAGGUUAAAACUCUAAUGAAUUGACGGGGGCCCGCACAAACGGGUGGGAUCAUGUGGAAUUAAUUCGGAUGCAACAGCGAAGUAACCCUUUACCUGGUUCUUGACAUUCAUCAUAAAACUUUGAUAUAGGAUACCU
rnacentral:rRNA from 1 species